rnacentral:rRNA from 1 species
AUUGAACGCUGGCGGCAUGCUUUACACAUGCAAGUCGAACGGCAGCGCGGAAAAGCUUGCUUCUCUGUGGGCGCGUGGCGAACGGGUGAGUAUAGCACAGGAACAUGCACAGUAGCGGGGGAUAACCAGACGAAAGACUGGCUCUUACAGCGUAAACUCUAUGGGGGAAAAUAGAGGACCUAAUUAAAGCCUUACGCAAUUUGAUCGCCCGAUGUCGGAUUAGCUAGUUGGUGGGGUAAUGGCUCACCAAGGCAAGGAUCCGUAGCGGGUCUGAGAGGACGAUCCGCCACACUGGAACUGAGACACGGCCCAGACUCCUACGGGAGGCAGCAGUGGGGAAUUUUGGACAAUGGGGGCAAGCCUGAUCCAGCCAUGCCGCGUGGAUGAAGAAGGCCUUAGGGUUGUAAAGUACUUUUGUUAGGGAAGAAAAGCUAGUGUUUAAUAAAAAGUAGUGAUGACGGUACCUAAAGAAUAAGCACCGGCUAACUACGUG